GUUUCUUCGGUUUUUUCUUGUUUGGGUUCUAUUUUAUUGCUUGGAAAUUGUGGGAAAGGAAAAGGGAACGCAUUAGAGUUCAGAGUUUUAUAAGCAGACAGUAGAGUGAUUGAGUUUAAAAGCUAGGACCUGAGUAAUCCUGAAAUCAGCUUCAUGGGUUAAUAGAGUUCUGAUUUCUAGCUGAAUUUUGGAUAAUUUGUUUAGCUGUUCUAGUGAUCAAUGAAUAGAACUCUAAUAUUUUAAUCUUUUCUUUGAAAGAAGCAAAAAAGUAGGUUUUCCGUCACAAAAGCAUUCCAGAAUUUGGAUUGAAGGGCAUUGUUAUGUUGUCUUUGAUUCUGUUUUUCAAUGCAAGCAAAUGAAAUUUGCGGUGAACUUGACACAGACUCUGUUUCCAAAUGUUCUGUGUUUGAUAA
rnacentral:misc_RNA from 1 species